CUAUAUUUUUGGUAGUAAAUUCUCCUCACAGUAGGAGUUAAAUUUGCCUCGUUGCUGCAUUUUUUCCUGACUAAACAUCCAUGAAAUUCAGCCACAGAGCCACGGGGUCAGCCACAGAACAAGAAUAUUCCAGCUGUGGUGUCAAGAUUCAGUAGGAGGCGGAGCUCCACGUGGCUGUCAAUCAACAGAUCCCUGGUCAGAUGGGAGGAAGGAAAAAGCACAAAGUUUUACUAUCAGUCCUGAUGCAGAUGGUACAAAGCUGUGAUGCAGAUUGUAAAGGAUGCAGAGUGACCCUUUCGCACCGCUGUAAUAGGAGCUGUUUAGAAAAGGUGCAGUAAGGGGCUGAAUGUUGCCAACAAAGACCAUUAAUCCUUGAGCCCAGAGGAAACGCGCUGUUCUGUUUCCCCCAACUGAAGAGACUGCAGGAAACCUGUCUGCGCUUUUUUUAUGAGGUCACCUUUGAAAAGAAGUUCAAAGUCUCGACUUCUGUCGGCUGUGUGAGGUGUUUUUAGAAGACGGAGCAGAUCAGCAGGUGUAACGUUGACACUGUUUUUUAUCCUGCUGCCGUGACGGAGACAAACGGCUGAUGACGGCAUUCAUCUCGUCUGAUUCACUUCCAGGGAGCGACAGGUCGCAGGGGAUCAGGACGACGUCUCCGGCUGGAGAUCCCUGAGAAARCCAGACUCUUUGUGACACUUUGAGUUCACAGUUUUAGUUUAAAGUGUCUGACGUGCUUUUCCUAUAAAUACAAAAACUGGAAGAGAGCAUCUGAUUAGUAAAGAAAUUUGUCAUAACGCACAGGAUUUUACCCUUUUUGUAUCAUAACUGGCAUAUUUUUGUUUGUGAAACAGGAAGUGAGCACAAAGAGGAAGUUUAAUUUCUCUGAACAAAUUUUUUAGGAUUUGCUGGAGUUUUUACUGCUGUUGUCGAAGGAAUGAAUAUGAUGCUGCCUCGCAUGCCAAAGUUUAAAUGAAAAUGUUGGAUAUCUGUCACACAUUAAAGCAGGGAUGGGCAACUGAUGGACCGAGGGCCACAUUUGGCCGGCGAGUGACUUCCAAUCGGCCCACCAUUGAAUUUUUUUUUACUUAAAAACAAGCACUAAAAGCUGUGCUUUUAGUCUGCUUAGAGACACUGGCUGUGUCCAAAUUCAGAGGCUGCAUCCUCCGAAGGCUGAAUUUGUCAGGUGCUUACGUCACGGCGCCGCGCCAGAGGCUGUCCAAAUUAGAAGACUCCUCCCAUGUGGCUGACAAAUGCGUCCUUUUUCUCUCAAAGGAGUACAGUUUUAAAUAAAAAUCUGUAGGUAUAAAAAUUAAACGUUUCAAGCAGACACAGCAACUGUCUGCGAAGAAGGAUUUUAAUACAAGUCACAACAACACGUUGCACAAAGCUAAAUAUGAGAAGUUUACUGGAGUCGUGAGCACAUAAACUGCAACAUUUCACCAGAACCAUGCAGGAGUCUGAAC